rnacentral:rRNA from 1 species
GGAGGGGGCUAGCGUUGUUCGGAUUUACUGGGCGUAAAGGGCGCGUAGGCGGUAUGCCAAGUCAGGGGUGAAAGGCCUGGGCUCAACCCAGGAACUGCCUUUGAAACUGGCAAACUAGAGUCCGAUAGAGGAUGGCGGAAUUCCCAGUGUAGAGGUGAAAUUCGUAGAUAUUGGGAAGAACACCAGUGGCGAAGGCGGCCAUCUGGAUCGGCACUGACGCUGAGGCGCGAAAGCGUGGGGAGCAAACAGGGAUUAGAUACCCUGGUAGUCCACGCCGUAAACGAUGUGUGCUAGACGUUGGGGGCCCUUAGGCUCUGAGUGUCGCAGCUAACGCGUUAAGCACACCGCCUGGGGAUACGGCCGCAAGGUUA